rnacentral:misc_RNA from 1 species
ACGUGUAUAAAGACAGUUGGCAGCACUCGUUGUAAACCCCGGUUACAUGUAUAUAUAAACUGUGAUUGCCGAAAAUUUCCACUUUGUGUUAGUAGGCCGUUACGACUCCAGUAACAUAAACUUAUUGUCGGACAUCUACAUUAUCAUCAUGAAAGUGUUCCUGAUUUGUCUCCUAUUCGCCGGAGCCAAUGCCGGCUUCCUGGAUUCUUUACAACAAGGUCCGACCAAUGUCAAGGAAGAACUCGCUUCGAAAGUUUCCGCCCACCUCAGCCCUCUAUUAGGCGCGGAAUGGGGCAACUUCUUGGGACACAUAUUUGUCGAAGGUGUCGAAGUCGCUGGAGUUGCAGUUAUCGGAGCCGCUAUUGGAAAGCGAGAAGUUCCACAUAAGGUAACAAUCAAAGACGUGCUUCAUAACGGCGCCAGGGCUUUGGAGCAAAUGUUCGACGACUAUGCCACAGAACUACAGCACUUCCACGAGGAGAUCGCCAGUCUCGCGUAUUUGAAGGGAGAUGUCAACCAGUUCUUUGCCAGCAUGCAGGACUCAAAACUGAUACACGAUAAAGAACUUGACAACAUUGUGUCCAGCGUAAACCAGACAUUGAGAUGUGACAAGAGAAAGAGAAAAGCUAUCGACAACAUUAUCUUCUCCAGGGCGUGCGUACAGUUUAGCUCCGCCGCUAACAAGCUGAAAGAGACGUUUAGUGAUGUUCACAGCCGACUUGUAAAAGGGUCGAAAAAUAUCCUUGGAGCUGUGAAUGAUCAUUUAUCACUUCUGAACGAUACCCUCUCUCACUAAGGACACUGAAAUAGGUCUCCCAGCGCCAUGAUUGGUAAGGACGUAGGACAAACUCAGACAGCCCAGGCACUGGAUACCCUGCUUCACCUCGACUCAGACAGCCCAGGCACUGGAUACCCUGCUUUACCUCGACAAGCUCAGAAAGCCAAGGCACUGGAUACCCUGCUUCACCUCUACUCAGACAGCCCAGGCACUGGAUACCCUGCUUCACCUCUACUCAGACAGCCAAGGCAUUGGAUACCCUGCUUUACCUCGACUCAGACAGUCCAGGCGCUGGAUACCCUGCUUCACCUCUACUCAGACAGCCAAGGUAUUGGAUACCCUGCUUCACCUCGACUCAUACAGCUCAGGCACUGGAUACAAGGCUUCACCUCGACUCAGACAGCCCCGGCGCUGGAUACCCUGCUUCACCUCGACUCAGUCAGCCCAGGCGCUGGAUACCCUGAUUCAGCUACAUAACAUAUGUAUAUAUACCACAUGAGUGUAAUUUAUGCAUCUCUUUUUAUAGAAAACAUGUCAUUAGAUUACUGAAAUAAUGUUUAAAUUCAAACACAUUUCCAAUUUACGAUUUGUGUCCUUCAAAAUUUCAUUAUUUUUUUUUUUACAUUAUUUGAGUACGCCCAUUGCUGAUAAUGACAGGGUAGCACAACCAUGUCCAUCAGCCGACACAGUGAACGGCGUUUCUUGUCCGAGACUUUGCUGUAGGGAAAGUUCUAUUUCCUAUUACCAGCAGUGUGGUAGUAUAAAUAUAUUGAUACUAUACACCAACAUGGUGUCCUGUGUGAACAUUUGUGAUAAUCUCCUGAUUGCCGUGUUUAUUAGUGAUGUUUCACGUCGUGUAAUAUAUUGUUGCUUUAACAAUUUCAAAAUCCCUGAUUGUUUGAACAUUGAUGACAUGUACAGGUAGAUUGUUCCACACAUCUGCCACUCUAAAUGUGAAUGAGUCUUUAACUCCAUGAUGGAUUUUUUUUUUUUGUCAUUUAUAUCAAAGCAUAUAGAUUGGAAGUGACUAUUUUAUCUAAUAGUUUAGUAGCUCUUCGCUGAACAUUCUCUAGUAGUUGUAUGUUUUAAAUGUGAUCUUACCAAAUGUCCUGUACACACUUUUGAACAUGAAGUUGUCUUCAUAUCUCAAUAAACUUUUUAUAAUACCCGUACCGACUUGGUUUUUAUAUUAAAGUUCUGCAUCUGUGUUCUACAGUCUAGCGUAUCAUCCACCGUUGCACCUCAAUGUUUUUCACUGGUAAUGCUUUUUGAUGUAGUUUUCUAGCCGUUCUAGCCCGUGAGAUAAUAACUUCUGUUAUCUAGGAUUGUCGAUAACCAGUUGUCUGUCCAGUUUUGAAGUUGAUGUAAAUCUGAUUGUAGAAUUUUAUAUCAUCUCUGUUACUAAUUAUCCGGUAUAGUUUGGUAUCAUCUGCGAAACGUGGGUAGGGAGAUAAUAUGUUCUCUGGCAUAUAAUUUAUAUACAGCGCCAGAUGAGCACACACUCUAUGAAGAAUUCCACUGAGGACGCCAUGAGACCUUAAUGAGGACCAAUUACCAACACCUUUUGAUGUCUAUUAUUCAGGAAGUCUUCUUUUUAUUUUAUUGUCUUAUGGCCGACUCCAUAUUUAUAUAGCUUUCUUAAAGGCAGCGGUAAGGUACCUUAUGAAAGACUUUCAUAAAGUUUGAAAUGACAUGGAGUUAUCCUCCCUGUAUCUAACAAGCGGGUCAAGUCAUCUAAAACUGUUAGCAUCUGGAGUGUUGUUGAACUUCAAGGCAGAAAUCCAAAGUGUGUAUUGCUAAAUACAUUUGCACAUGCUGCACAAUAGAAUUACGGAUAAUUCUCCAUGGUGUUUACCAUGACACCUUUUGAGGCUCACAUGGCGGUAAUUCCCUGGGUAAGAUUUAGGCCCAUUUCCGUAGGUGGCAGUAAUGUCAGUAAUGUUUGCAUCCCUCUAUGUUUGAGGUAGUUUUCUUUCCUCCAAAGAUUUCUGAAAUAUUAUUGACAUGGGUUUACUUAAAACGUUUUUUCUUGAAUACGUUUGGGUUGAUUUCAUAAGGAUAUGAUGAUUUAUUUCCAUAACAUUUUAUGAGAAGUUUUCUAAUAGUAUCUUGGUUAUGGGGUGCGUCAUGGAAUCGUUGGCGGAUGGUUAUAGCUUCAAACCUUGAUAGCUCUCCUAUUGGUUCUUUAGAAAAGGCACUGUUGAAAAAGUUAGUCAGUACCUCUACUUUAUCUGUAUCGCUGUUAGCGAAUUUGUUAAGUCCCUAUUCAGAGCUUUUAUAUCUGAAAUUCCUGUUCUGACUUUCGCAUUUACAUAAUUCCUCAAGCAUUUAGGUUGGUGUUUAGCAUUCACUUAAAUUUCUUUUUCGUUAUCUUUUUUUGUUUUCUUUUAUUCAAGCAUUAACUUGAAUGACUUUUUUACGUUAAUGAGCCAUAACAUAAAAAGGGGUGUACUCUGAAUGAACCCCGAAACGGUUGAUGAAAAGAGUACACGCCGGACCGAAAGUAGCUGAUAACAUAGAAAAUUAAACCAAUAGAAAUGCUUGUUUUCAACAGACUUAAAUUAUUACCAUAUGGCUUGGUUCCUGCAUCUUGCAUACAUCUUUUAUUUUCUUGUGACAUUUCCCCAUUUAUUGAGUCCAAUUUCUAUGUUUCCUGCUGGUUUUUCACACUUGGUGACAUCUUGAUUUAAAGCUAUACUGUCCUUGUUCUUGUUGCCAA